UACACUGUUGUGUGGCUCCCUUGAUCUGA
rnacentral:piRNA from 1 species